GUUCGGUUGAUUGAUUCAGUGGCGAGCAGUAGCCGACUUAGGCGUCACAGCAAAGUAAACGCCGAAAACAAUAACAAAACCAGAUAAGGAACAUUUUCGUGCGAUCAUUUUUCACAACUUUCGACGUGGAUUAUCACGACAAGAGUGCAUCGAUGAACUAAAAUCUUUGUAUGGCUAUGAAGCACCAUCCUAUGGCACUGUGAAAAACUGGUACAACGAAUUCAAUCGUGGCCGACGCUCGCUCAAAGACGAAUUCCGUGAAGUUAGUCCAAAAACAGCCGAUGUGCCAGAAAACAUCGAUGCCGUACGUGAACUGAUAAUGCAAGACCGUCAUGUAACAUACCUUCAGAUAGAGGCAUGCCUAUGCAUUUCUCCCACCAGCAUACAUUCGAUAUUGCAUGAACACCUGGCCGUAAAAAAGGUUUGUUCUCGUUGGAAUCGCUCAAAAAAGGCUCGUGUGGAUUGGUGUAACGAAAUGCUGAAAAAAUAAAACAAAAAAAAAACAUUAUCGUUGAUAAAUAUGCCUAUUUACAUUAUUAGGGCAGAAAUAUAUAUAGCCUUGCUUGAGAAGAUGGACGUCUUCGCUUUUUGUACAAGUAGUAUUUUGUACGCUUUCAAUUUAAGAUCUUCAUGUAUAAUGCGCUAAGCCGUUCUAUACGUCAGUCCAAGUUGCUGCGAACGGCGCCGAAUCGACUCCCCACGUGUGCACUCUCAGCUACGGCUGAUAUAUUUUCUUCACUUGCUAACUUAAAAUUUUAAUAAUUAUUUCGUUUUCUUUAAAAAAUUUUCGAAAAGGGUAAAGUUGUAAGGCUGUAACAACUCAACUAAAACUUUUUGACAGGUUGAAUUGUUUUCGAUAAUACCAAAAUUUUAAAUUGAAACUUAAGUCGUAACUAAAAACUGUUUGUUUUGGAGAAAGCUAGUGAAAUAAGUUCGCGAAUUAGGAUUAUCUUUGCUUUUGAUGCUGACCUUUCUCUAGUACUUUGAAUAUUAUAUUUAGUAUAAAAUCUGUAUACUGCUUCAUGGCAAAAAGGCAUGGCAUGGCAUAAUUCCUGUCAAUCUUUUGUUACAGUAUUUGACUGGAUUCCUCUGAGGUAUACACACAUUUGAAGUGAAUAAUGAAUUUAAAAAAUAUUUGGUUACUUCCUUAAAACAAUGAAACUCCUUUCUGUUGCUUUAAAAUAUACAAAACGGAUUGAAUUGCUUCACAGAUGUUGAAAAUGUAAGCAGGAAAUAAA